AGCGAUUCCAUUAUUAUGUCGGUUGGAGCCAACCAUCUAUCCACAGCGUGCAGCGGUGAGAGACGAGCAUUCUCAACAGCUGUGAUUAAAGCCGCAAAUCUGAUAGUUUCUCGGCGUGGAGACCCGGUGACAUCACAGCACAGAGAAACAGCUGACUCCUGAACUUUUAUUGAAAUUUUGAUUUACAGCUUUUUUAAUUGGUUUUCUCCCACUUAGCGCGUCACUCAAGUGAGUCGUGAAUUUCUCUUAUACUGUUGCUCAGUGUGCUCUGCUUAAGGACACCGCGGUAUUAAAAUAAAGCAAAUAAACUACAUCAGUUAUGCAGACUGCAAAUAAGUCACUUAAGUAGGUGCACGACUCAUUCACGUCGUUGUGUUGGCAGCGUGUCCGCACUGUUCUUAGCGACAUCUGGUGGUAGGGUCAAGGUACGGCCUGCAUGGAAGACACGGCAAGACGGGCUGAAGUCUGCAAUGAGCUUCACAACAGCGCUGCGCAGAACGGAUCCGCUGUGCUACAUCGCCAUCCUGUGGAUGACUACCAGACUCAUAUGCAUCCUCAAUCUUUUUCUAAAGACCUGGGAGAGCUUCUUAGACCCUGAUGACACGGCGCACUUCAGAAUGAUCGGGGGAACUUGAUGGAAAUGGGGUUGUCCUUACAACAUAAACCACCACACUGCUUGUUGUUAUCCCCCUCCCUCGUCCUGCGGAAACCCUGAUAAGGAUAAGCGGAAGAGGAUGGAUGGAUGGAUGGAUGGGAGUAGGACACCUGUAAAUACUUUCCUGAAGCCCAAGAAAAAAAAGAAAAUAAAUAAAUAAAUAAAAGAUAGAAUAGCAUAGAAUAGCAUAGAAUAGAAUAGAAUAGAAUAGAAUAGAAUAGAAUAGAAUAAACCUCUAUUAUCCCACGGAUGAGAAAUUUCGGUGUUACAGAGCUCUUAAAGCAAGGGAAAAUUAAAAUAUAAAAGGAAGACACAAGGUGGUCCUAUAAACAUAAGCAACCGAAGUUGUAUAUAAAGGUAUAUACAGGUAACAAUGUACAGAUAGAUGUACAGAUGUAUAGAAAAACUGAAAAAUUGUAUGGAGAUAUGUAUAAAACGUACAGGGUUAUAUAUAAAAUCUACAGAGCUAUGUAUAAAAUGUACAGUAA